GAUGAACGCUGGCGGCGUGCCUAAUACAUGCAAGUCGAGCGAACAGAUGAGGAGCUUGCUCCUCUGACGUUAGCGGCGGACGGGUGAGUAACACGUGGAUAACCUACCUAUAAGACUGGGAUAACUUCGGAAACCGGAGCUAAUACCGGAUAAUAUAUUUAACCGCAUGGUUCAAUAGUGAAAGACGGUUUUGCUGUCACUUAUAGAUGGAUCCGCGCCGCAUUAGCUAGUUGGUAAGGUAACGGCUUACCAAGGCAACGAUGCGUAGCCGACCUGAGAGGGUGAUCGGCCACACUGGAACUGAGACACGGUCCAGACUCCUACGGGAGGCAGCAGUAGGGAAUCUUCCGCAAUGGGCGAAAGCCUGACGGAGCAACGCCGCGUGAGUGAUGAAGGUCUUCGGAUCGUAAAACUCUGUUAUUAGGGAAGAACAAAUGUGUAAGUAACUAUGCACGUCUUGACGGUACCUAAUCAGAAAGCCACGGCUAACUACGUG
rnacentral:rRNA from 1 species